UGGAAAAUGCUUUCUUUAUUACAACUGUUUGUUCUCCAAAUAGUGCAUUGGCAUACAAAAAUAUUAUGCUUGAUCUGAUAAGAUUAUGCAUUGUUACUUACUAAGAUUUAUAGCUCACACCCAUUUAUUUAUGUUCUUAAAGAUGAAUAGGAGAUGCUAGGAACAAGGAGCGUGACAUGCCUCACGGUUAUGGAAAUAAUAAAAUAUUAAAUGAUGAUAUUAUUUUUAGAAGCUUUGUAUGGAUUUUAAUACCUGAACAUUUAAUGACUUUCAUGAAUAUAGUUGUUUACAAUUUGAAGUUUUUUUAAAGAGGCUGCGUGUUAUUGUAUGCUUAACUUGGCAAUAGCAC
rnacentral:lncRNA from 1 species